rnacentral:lncRNA from 1 species
AGUCGCACAGUUGCGCGGUGGCCGACAGGAAUUGUUCCCCAGUGGUAAGCCGCAAUCUAGCUGACGUGGCCCCAACCCCACAUUCCUUCCUGCCCUGCAAUGUCUGAAGAAACCCUACAGAGCAAAUUGGCGGCUGCAAAGAAAAAGAUGGGGUUUCACCAUAUUGGCCAGGCUGGGCUCGAACUCCUAACCUGAUCCACGCACCUUGGCCUCCCAGAGUGCCGGGAUUGCAGUCAUGAGCAACCACACCCACCAGGACAACAUAUUUUUUCCUCUCUCAGUGGAUCUGAUUGUCAUCAAUCUGCAAUUACAAAAGCAAUCCAGUCAAUGUAGUUAGCUUUGCACAAUACUAUUGUAUCUGUAAUUCCUUAUGUAACAGUUUUACAAUUUGUCUAGUGAAAUAAACAUCUUUAUCAUUGGAGGCUUUUUCAGAAAUGUUCCAUGAGAAAAAUGUAUUUAUUUAUAUCCUUUUAGCUACUGUUAUAACAUCAG